rnacentral:siRNA from 1 species
GCCGUCAAGGUUGCUGGAGGGC